UUUAUUUUGGCAGAAUAGUGCGAAGGAUUUAGAAUCUUUAUAUGUAAGAAUUUACAAAUAAAA
rnacentral:tRNA from 1 species